UACGUAGGGUGCGAGCGUUGCCCGGAUUUAUUGGGCGUAAAGGGCGCGUAGGCGGCUCGGCACGUCCGUUGUGAAAUCGCCCGGCUCAACUGGGCGGGGUCGGCGGAUACGGCCGAGCUGGAGCAAGAUAGGGGGUAAUGGAAUUCCCGGUGUAGUGGUGGAAUGCGUAGAUAUCGGGAGGAACACCAGUGGCGAAGGCGGUUACCUGGAGCUUUGCUGACGCUGAUGCGCGAAAGCGUGGGGAGCGAUCCGG
rnacentral:rRNA from 1 species